GACAUCAUUAGCUUUUCUUGGGAUCUCAAAGGACCCUGUGCAGCAGGCCACUAUUUGAAUGUGUGUUGCUCCUUGUGGCAGGUAUACUGUUCCAAUGCCCUGGGAUCUCUGUAGUGGUCGGUACUGUAUUGAUUAUAAAUGGUGAAGUCCUAGUAUCUUGCUAGAGUGAGCUGGCCAGGAUGGUGGAGCUCUACCACCAUUUCACAGGUUAUAGACAGGGGCCCCCAGGUUUCAGGAAAGCAGCAAUGACCCCUCAGUAAUAGUUGGAAAGUGUGAUAUGACACUGAGCUUCACUGUGUUGGUGAAGAAGAGGUGAGGAAAAUAAAAGUUGCAGUUUGCCUCCACCUCUGAAGAAGCACAAUAUACCUUUCUGGGUUACCCAUGGGAUACUUCCCAACAGCUUUGUCAUCACAUACAAUAUUUGCAAACAAGAUCUUAAUGGCAUCCACUUUCUCCAGGAACACAGCCCCUGACAUGUGCGUGUUUGCGUAGAGAAGGCAUGCUAUGUACCCCCUAGGAUACCAAGAUUUCUGUAGCAGAUUGAGCUCUGGCAGUUGAUCUCAGUGGCUUGAUAGAGUGUCAUUAUAAAAACGCACCUGGAAGAUUCUGUGGAAAAGACAACCUCAGAAGACCAAGUCUCACUUUCUGCUCCCCAGUCACUUGAAACUGUUCUAUCAAAGCAUCUAAUUCCUAAUCUAUCAAACACAGUCGUGAUCACUUCAGACUAUUAGGCAUAUGAACACUCUUUCUACAUUGAGUUUUCAAGUCUUGGCAGAAGGCACGGCUUCAUGUCCAAGGAUGAAGAGAGGCUGACUUUGCAAGAGAGAGUCCGUUUACCACUUAGAACCGUGAACACCACCCCCGCCCUCAUUUAUCUCCAGACUUGAACUAGUGGUUAAAUCCCAACAUGUCCCAGAGAAGUCAAAUGCACUGUAAAAUCUGGGAAUCUGCCCACCACUCAAGCCUGGGAAAGCUGGCAGAGGAUGCACGUGUUUUACUCACCUGAGUGUUCACAAUGCUUGUGAGGUGCCUCCCUGAUAUUUUUAUAGCAGAAUGGAGAAACACAACCAAGGAGAUACACCUAAGUAACAAUAGCAAUGAUGUCAAAAAGAGUGCCUGAAUACUUAGGAUGGAGGUCCUGGACAUGCAAACCCAAGCCUCCUCUUGCUGUGGCCAGGAAUCUGCAGUGAUUGAGAGCACAGACUGUAUCUAAAAUUCCACCUUUCAAAGUUCAGCAUAUUACUUUUUUCCUUUCUUACACCUAUAGGUACAGAGGAAUGAAGAAGGAAUAAACAGACCUUCUGGAUAAUUGCAUCAGUCUUCCCCACUAUUCCAAUGCCAUGCUAACAUUUCAAGUAAUGUACCUUUUGUCUUGCUGAGAAAAAAUCAUUUCAUGAUUUAUUACACUGGAUUAAAGGCUAUGCACACUCUGGAGUUGGAAUAUGACUGAAGGGCAAGCAAGCAUAAAGGAUAUCAGAAACAGUUGAUUUGUAGGUUAAACCUUGGAUAUUCCCAUCUGAGCAUCUGUACCAAACAGAAAAGACCUGUGUGAGUUCCUGAGAACCAGUGCUCAUUCCAGAAGGGACAGGUUUCUCUCCAGGAAGAAAUGUCUGAAAUUCAGUGAAUUAAAAUCCUCAUUGAGUCUUCA